AUACUGCAACAAUGAAUGCGGUCAUGUUUGGGAGCUCCUCGGCUACUGCGGUGUUGCAAGCUAUAUGAGUUUCAAGCAUGUAAAUCGGAGGGGAGCAGAAGAACCACUUUGUUCCCCAGCCCUGCCCCCGGGUAUAUAAAUAGCCGCCUGGGUGGCUGCUGGAGUGCCUCUCAUUCCAGAGAUCUUUGGCCACCCUCUUAUCAAAACAGAAAGACUGACUUCACUCCCGUUCUCUGCCGACUGAUUUCAUGCUGGAAACAGGGGGGAAAAAAUGCAAGCUCUGUCUGAAACACGGCGGCAGUAGGAAGAACAGGCAGGCCAUGGUUCUGACUGCUGCUGAGCAAAUCUAUGCUUGAAGAGCAGAUUGAAAUUAUUGCAGUUAUGGUGCUGCUGCUGCUAAUGAGAUGCCUGUCUCUUUCCCAACCACUUUCAUUUGUAAUCACUUUUAAUGAAUGGGAAACAGAGAAGGGAGGGAACCUCAAGCCUCCCUCAGCUGUGAGACACAGCUGAGCCUGCAGUGUUAUCGCUGCUGCAUCUUCACCCUGCUUCUACCGACUGCAAGGCAUCAGCCAGCAGGUCAGUAAAGCACUGCAGCAUGCUGCUUGGCCUGCCUCUGACCAAACGAGGCUGUGGGUUGUCAGUCUGAAAGUCUUUGUGAUAAAUAACUGUUCUGCUGGCAGGCAAGCCCAUGGCGAAACUCUUUUCAUAAUCUGAUCAAGCUUCAUCUUAAAACCAGUUUGAUUCCUCGCACCCACUCCUACAGAAACCUCCCUUUCCUCCUUAUUGAUUCAUAAGUGAAUUUAUUCGUGGUCACUUUAUACCCAUGUGUUCUCGUGCCAGCAUUGUCUUUUGGUUAAGCACUUCUCCUGCCUCACUGCUGUUCUCAGCUUUGAUGUACUUUGGGAGGCGCUUAGAUCCCUGUUAUAUUACUCUGUUGAAAAUAAAGCGAAGUUUUGCCCUUUUUGGAGAAAUUUC
rnacentral:lncRNA from 1 species